UUCACUUUUCUUUAAAACGUUGUUGUGAAGAUUAAGUUGAACAAGGCGUUGUCAAUUAAUAUAUUUUUUAAGUAUCAUCAUUUGAUGUAAACUUACGCCUAACUUUUAACGUAAGAAAACACAUUUAACUGUUUAUUUUGAUCAACUUGUGAUAAGAGCACAGCUCGAAGGUAGAAAAAUCUGGUAGCCCUAUAGGUUUAGAAUAAAGCUGACAGUCUCGAUGUGGUUUUGAUUAAUGCUGUCUGAAAUGAAAACCGACCAAUGAAAAUGAAGAGACGAAUGUGUUGUUCUUGUUAAUAUCUUAAGGGGGAACGGUUCGUGAUGAUUUACGUCAUGUUCGCAUGAAGAACGCGUCGAGAAGGCUCAAUUGGAUUUCUCUUGCGUUUUCAUGUUCACAAUAAACUAUUUUUGUUGCCUCAAGGUAACUACAAUUGGCGGAAAGUACUGACGUUGUAGAAAGUUAAAGCUACUUACAUAUAGCACAUCGCGUUUCGUUUGUAUUGCCGCUGCGAACCUUUGGAAAACAGAACAGGGAUUGAAGUAGUUAACGAAACGGAAUUGGAAAUCAAGGUUAUAUUUUGUGAAGAAACCGCGCCCAAAACAUGCUGAGUGCUUACUUUGGACAUAUUUAUUUUCAAAAACAAAAUACUUGUCGUCUAAUUUGUUGUAAAAAUUGCUAUGUAACUCGUUUGUAACUUCUUAUGUAACUUGUUAUUGAGCUUGUCAUAUAACUUGUUGUUGAGCUUGUUAUAAAAUUUGUUGCAGAGCUUGUAUAAGUAUUACUUGUUGUUGAGUUUGUUAUAUGACUUGUUGUAGAGCUUGUUGUAUAACUUGUUGUUGAACCUAUAGUAUAACUUACUGUUAAGUUUGUUGUAUAACUUGUUGUUGAACUUGUUCUAUAACUUAUUGUAGAGCUUGUUGUAUUACUUGUUGUUGAGCAUGUUAUAUAACUUGUUGUUGAGCUUGUUAUACAACUUCUUGUCGAGCUUGUUUUGUAACUUGUAAUGGAGGCUUGUUGUGGAACUUGUUGUUUAACUUGUUGUGUGAUUAGUUGUGUAACUUGUGUAUCCUUUUGUGUAGUUUUUUAUGUGACAUUAGAUAACAUAUCUGUCUUUUUUGCAACUUAUUCAUGGUUGAAAAUAGCCAGCGUCGUAUAGAGUCUAUGCGAUAGAGACUAUAGUUUGAAAAUUGCGUGCAUGUUCAGUUGUGCUUUAAUACAAACCUUAAGACAAUCACGUUAUCCAAAAUUUUUUGGACUACAUAAAAAUAGUAUUGUCAUUUGUUCUGUGGAACGUCACCAA